rnacentral:tRNA from 1 species
GAGGCCUUAGCUUAAUUAAAGUGCCUGAGUUGCAGUUAGGUGAUGCAGUGUAAAAGUCUGCAGGUUUU